AAGAAGUUAGUUAAUGAAAUAACAUUGGCAUGUCAAACCAAAAUAGCCGAAAUAGGCACCUCUUU
rnacentral:tRNA from 1 species